GGAGAGGAAAUUAGUUCAAUGGUAGAGCGCCGCUAUAACCAGCGGAGACAUCGGUUCGAGUCCGAUACAGACUCUCUCA
rnacentral:tRNA from 1 species